rnacentral:lncRNA from 1 species
UCUGGAUAGUUCCAUAGGUUCAUGGCCUUUCAAAACAAGCCCUUCCAGUUAUAAAAAAGGUCUUUGUCUAGGUAAAAUACAGGGCCCGCGGGGGGGAAGGAGGCAUUUUGAAAGACAGAUAAGUCAGGGACAGUUUCCUGAAGUAGCCUGUAAUCAUUGCAAGACAAAGAUAAGAUAAGAGCCAUCCUUUAUUUGCAUUUGCACGUUCCGAACAUGUGGACACUGAAUAGGCUCUUGUAAACACUCUCAGAGCCUGAUUGUUGCUCCCCUGCUCGGGAGUCACGCACUAUUAAUCAUGCAGAAAUAGGCCAGGCCCUUCGCCGCAACCUAAUCCAAUACUUCUGCUCAGAAUGGUCUAUAAUUAAAGAGUGCGAGAACUGUUAGAGAUGAAACAUUAGGAUAAGGAGUCGAUAUAAGCUGGAAGGGCUGAGCCUCCCAACAGUGCACGCAGCUCUGGACCGACGUCAGCAAUGAGGCUCAUAUACAUCUUGAUUCUGUUGGGGGAAGUGGUAGCAGAGCCAGUCACAGGUGAGUUACCUGAAAUAUUCCAAACUAUUGAGCUAUUUUUUCAAAUAUGCCAGUGGACGUAGCACCUUUCUGUCCUUGCUAUCCAGCCCGUAGAGGCGUGCUGAUGUUGCUGAAUGGUGAGAGGAUCCAUCUGAUGCCAUUUCUAGACACACAUUGCUACAAAUCCCAUUUUAAUAACAUCAACACCCACUUCCGUCUGUCCUUUUAGAGGCCCUGGCCAUGACUACGGAGAAGACGGUGGUGUCGACCCCUGCAGCGUACAGGAAGCCUAACCCCGCCAAUAAAGCAGAGGUAGAGCCAGACUCCGAAGACGUGUCCGAAGCAGCAUCGGAAGAGAAGAUGACGGAUUCCGACAGUCAGGAGAUCCCGUCCUCCAAGGCCAUGCAAGCAGGGAAACCUCCAUUCAAGAGGAGGACAGCCGUAGACGAGAUGAUCAGGAGGUGGGCGCAGGAGCGGGGCAGCAGGGAGAGGAACGAUCCUGACAGCGAAGAACACCCCAGUCCUUCAGGAGCUCAGGCGCUCUGCCCAGACAGGACGGCAGAACCAGCCAGUGAUGAUCAAAGCAGGGACCUGCAGGACCCGGACAGUCCGGAGGGCAACUGCGGCAGACCAGCACCAGCGGAAGGCCGAGACUUGGAGAUCCCAGCGAGGUCUCCGGCGGGUGAGUAG